rnacentral:SRP_RNA from 1 species
UCACCGAGGCUAAGUUCAAGUACCUGAAGGGCCAGCCGAAGAAGCCGGCGUCCGCUCUCAAGAAGUUCAUGCUCAGCAACCUGGCCGCGGUGAAGAAGG